GACGAACCGUGCGAACGUUGUUCGGAAUCACUGGGCGUAAAGGGCGCGUAGGCGGCCUUCUAAGUCGAACGUGAAAUCCCCGGGCUCAACCCGGGAACUGCGUCCGAUACUGGAAGGCUUGAAUCCGGGAGAGGGAUGCGGAAUUCCAGGUGUAGCGGUGAAAUGCGUAGAUAUCUGGAGGAACACCGGUGGCGAAGGCGGCAUCCUGGACCGGCAUUGACGCUGAGGCGCGAAAGCCAGGGGAGCAAACGGG
rnacentral:rRNA from 1 species